rnacentral:tRNA from 1 species
GCUUGGGUUGCUUUAGUUGGUCGAAAAGUCCAGACUGUUAAUCUGGUGAACGUAAGUUCCACCGCAGGUUCGAAUCCUGCUCCAAGCG